rnacentral:rRNA from 1 species
AUUGAACGCUGGCGGCAUGCCUUACACAUGCAAGUCGAACGGCAGCACGGGUGCUUGCACCUGGUGGCGAGUGGCGAACGGGUGAGUAAUAUAUCGGAACGUACCUUAUUGUGGGGGAUAACGCAGCGAAAGCUGUGCUAAUACCGCAUAAUCCCUUAGGGGGAAAGCGGGGGACCGUAAGGCCUCGCGCAAUUAGAGCGGCCGAUACCUGAUUAGCUAGUUGGUGAGGUAAAGGCUCACCAAGGCAACGAUCAGUAGCUGGUCUGAGAGGACGAUCAGCCACACUGGGACUGAGACACGGCCCAGACUCCUACGGGAGGCAGCAGUGGGGAAUUUUGGACAAUGGGGGCAACCCUGAUCCAGCAAUGCCGCGUGAGUGAAGAAGGCCUUCGGGUUGUAAAGCUCUUUUGUCAGGGAAGAAACAGCAGCUCUAACACAGUCUGCGAAUGACGGUACCUGAAGAAUAAGCACCGGCUAACUACGUGCC